CGCGACUGAGGUCGUGUCUUCACGGGGGAGCCGAGGGAGUCGACUGUCCUGGCUACAGUUUCUCCUACAAACCAUGCAUUGAGAAAGAUUGUUACGUGUACACGGCCUGGAUCAACCUAGACCACCCGUUCACCCAGGGGACCACGGGCCCCGGGGAUCAAACGAAUCCCGUGGGGGCCGGAGACUACGAGGUGUAUCAAAACGCGACCUCCCGCUGCGGAGGCCGACCGGUUCGAGGGCCAGAAUGUCGAGACUCGGUGAGCAAGAAGAACUGGAAUGAAGUGGGCAUACCGAACACGACUGACAUCUUCCCUCUACAGUGUAACUUCAGGGGUGAUCUGCCGUUCGGUAUUAUAUGCCUCAACGAACCUUCCAUACGGG